AUAAGAGAUUGAACCCGCCCUAAAUAGACCACUACUUAAUACUUUUGAUAUUCAUGCGCCCUUUUCGAUCAACAUGCAUCAAGUUAACCUGAAACCUGUUUAAUCUACGUCACUUGAUUAUUAGUCUUGGUCUAGUAGUUGUUGUACAAAAAAUUUGGCAACACUUUUCAACGAGUGAGUCAAAGAUUGUAUGUGACAACAGUUUACUAUCCUUAAAAAAAAAAAAAAAAAAAAAAAAAAAAGGAGGGUGUAAUAUGGGAUAUGAAAAUUUUCAUUAGAGCAGUUCUAAUUUUUGGUUUCCCACUCUGUUUUCAUUAUUUCCCACUCUUCUAAAUAUAAUUCACCAAAUUAAACUCUAAUUUUCAUUUCUAUCUCCUCACUCACUUCUCACUUCUCACUUCUCAGAUUAGUUUGUGUUCUCACUUCAAUUCAUUAAUCCCACCGCAAUUAAUUGGAGAAUUUCGUUGAUUGCUAAAAAGGGCUGAUUAUAUAGCGAAAUUCAUCUAUCUUCAAGAUUGACAAACAAGAAUAAUGAAAAAUGGAAGUAAUUAAGAAGCCUAAAAUUGCCUUGAAGUCCAUUUUAACACCUUAUGAGAAAGUAAGGUCCAUGACUAUAGAAAAAAUUGCCCAGAGGUUUAGAGAAUUAGGGCUCGACAAGAUUGCUCAACAAUUGUUGGAAAAAAAUAAGAACCUUGCAAAAGGAAAGGAAAAUGUGAAUUCUAAUGUAGAUGAUCCAGACUAUGUACCUGGUGAAGAAAAUUGUGACCUUGAGGAUUUUGAGAUGUCUUGAGAUAGAGAGGUUUUAACUUAAGCAACGUCCUUCAUAUCUAAGAAGAAGGCAAGAACUAAAGAUCAACUACUUAGGAAGAAUAAGAAGCAGCCAUUGUGCCCAUCUAUGGCAAUGGACGAUUUUCUUGUUGCUUAAAAUCAAAUGGAUCCAGCUGAAGUACGACAAAUAGAGCAAGAUGUACAGCAAUUAGAGCAAGAUCGACAAAGAUCUAAGCGACCGCUUUCGACCAUUGUUCCACUAGAAAGCCGAGGAGAAUCUAUUUCCGCACAAGGUUUGUCUUGAAUACUCCACCCCUUAAAAAUCAUGAAAAAUCAUAUGGUCUUGUAACCUUUUUAGUUAUUCAAUCCAAGAUUAGACAACUUUCUAUAAUAUGCUUCUUCUCUUAUUAUAUAAGUAAUUAGCAAUGAACAAACUGCAAGCUAAGUACCAUUAUAAAAUCAAACGUAAUUAUGUACUGGUUGAAGCAAGUUUUGAAGAGAUGAUUAUUAGAUGAUUUCGUUUUAUGAUUUUAUAUUUUUGUGUGUGAAAAAGUUCAGGAAAGAUUGGAAAGGUGGUCUCAAGUCUUGAUGAAAAGACUGUUAUCCAUGAUUUGACUUCCGUAACUUCAAUUGUUCAUAGAUAAGCAGUAGUUGGUGGACUUGAUUUCCUUUUAUAGAUAAUGGUUCUAUGUAUCUGACAGUUAAAUGUUGUAAAACCUAAUCAUCAACUUAGAUGCCUAUAUGCUCUUUAUGAAUAGUAUGUAGUAUCCUAAAUUCAUAAUGGAUUCACUUCUUUGAUUUGUAAAUUGUAAGAACUUCCUUAGAGUUUCAUUGUACAUAGAGUACUCUAUUGCAUAGCAUAUUAGCAUGUUAUUGCUCUCAA